CGCUUUGGGGCUGCAGGGAAGCUGGCCGCUGUGGGCGGUCUCGGGCCAGCCCCGCCCCACCUGUCCUUUUCCUGGAGACUAUUAGUCCAGGGUUUGUCCCUGCAGUGCCAUUGGCCUGGCAGGCAGGAUCGAGGAGGAAGUGGCUGAUUACUGAGCGGUUCUUCCUCACCUGGCUUGGGCCACUGUGCACAGCUGUGCCGCUGGCUCAGCCCCGCCCCCUGCGGCCCUCUGCCGUGGCUUCCCCCUCCCUACAGAGAGAUGCUGUCCCGUGGGUGGUUUCACCGAGACCUCAGUGGGCUGGAUGCAGAGACCCUGCUCAAGGGCCGAGGUGUCCACGGUAGCUUCCUGGCUCGGCCCAGUCGCAAGAACCAGGGUGACUUCUCGCUCUCCGUCAGGGUGGGGGAUCAGGUGACCCAUAUUCGGAUCCAGAACUCAGGGGAUUUCUAUGACCUGUAUGGAGGGGAGAAGUUUGCGACUCUGACAGAGCUGGUGGAGUACUACACUCAGCAGCAGGGUGUCCUGCAGGACCGCGACGGCACCAUCAUCCACCUCAAGUACCCGCUGAACUGCUCCGAUCCCACUAGUGAGAGGUG
rnacentral:lncRNA from 1 species